GUAAUUUCUCACGCACAAGAGACCCUUAGGACACUUGUUUUUCAACGUUCAACAUUUGGGGGCAUCAAUUCGAAGCUUAGCAAUGUCAGCAGCCGCCUUCCAACGGUAAACCAUAUACUCUCAUCAACAAAGAAGAAAAAGUCUAUGGAUACCAUCAUCCUUUCUUUAGUUGCCUCAGUUUGCACAUUUCUCAUUUUGAUUUAUUGGUUGACCAAAUAGAAAUUAUUGCGGUUUUCUUGUGGGAGCCUCACGGCAUGUUCUUUCCUCCAUUGUAUUUUAUGUAAAUACCGUGUCGGUUUGUUAAUAAAUUUUGGCAUUCUUCA